UACAGAGGUCUCAAGCGUUGUUCGGAUUCAUUGGGCGUAAAGGGCGCGUAGGCGGCGCCGUAAGUCGGGUGUGAAAUUUCGGAGCUUAACUCCGAAACUGCAUUCGAUACUGCGGUGCUUGAGGACUGGAGAGGAGACUGGAAUUCAUGGUGUAGCAGUGAAAUGCGUAGAGAUCAUGAGGAAGACCAGUGGCGAAGGCGGGUCUCUGGACAGUUCCUGACGCUGAGGCACGAAGGCCAGGGGAGCAAACGGG
rnacentral:rRNA from 1 species